AAGAGACGUUGCCCUUCGGGGUAUACCUCCCACCCUUUGUAUAUCAUACCUUCAAACUCUGUUAUUAGUGUCGUCUGAGUACUAUAAACAAUAGUUA
rnacentral:misc_RNA from 1 species